rnacentral:rRNA from 1 species
CAGUAGCCGCGGGAAUACGAAGGGGGCUAGCGUUGUUCGGAAUUACUGGGCGUAAAGCGCACGUAGGCGGAUUGUUAAGUUAGGGGUGAAAUCCCAGGGCUCAACCCUGGAACUGCCUUUAGCACUGGCAAUCUCGAGUCCGAGAGAGGUGAGUGGAAUUCCGAGUGUAGAGGUGAAAUUCGUAGAUAUUCGGAGGAACACCAGUGGCGAAGGCGGCUCACUGGCCCGGUACUGACGCUGAGGUGCGAAAGCGUGGGGAGCAAACAGGAUUAGAUACCCCGGUAGUCCCUGUCUCUUAUAC